rnacentral:rRNA from 1 species
UACAGAGGGUGCAAGCGUUAAUCGGAAUUACUGGGCGUAAAGCGUGCGUAGACGGUUAUGUAAGUCAGAUGUGAAAGCCCCGGGCUUAACCUGGGAAUGGCAUUUGAGACUGCAUAGCUAGGGUGCGGAAGAGGGAAGCGGAAUUUCCGGUGUAGCGGUGAAAUGCGUAGAUAUCGGAAGGAACACCAGUGGCGAAGGCGGCGACCUGGGCCAAUACUGGACGCCUGGAGGUGACGAAAG